CGGACACAUCACGCUGAAACAGCAGUUGCUGUACAAUCUCUGAAGUUAAGCAACAUCGGGCCUGAUUUGUAGCUAGAUGGGUGACCGCCUUGGAAUACCAGGUGCUGUGA